rnacentral:rRNA from 1 species
GACGAACGCUGGCGGCGUGCUUAACACAUGCAAGUCGAGCGGUAAGGCCCUUUCGGGGGUACACGAGCGGCGAACGGGUGAGUAACACGUGGGUGACCUGCCCUCAGCUCUGGGAUAAGCCUGGGAAACCGGGUCUAAUACUGGAUAUGACUCCAUGACGCAUGUUGUGGGUGAAAGCCUUGUGCGGCUGAGGAUGGGCCCGCGGCCUAUCAGCUUGUUGGUGGGGUGAUGGCCUACCAAGGCGACGACGGGUAGCCGGCCUGAGAGGGCGACCGGCCACACUGGGACUGAGACACGGCCCAGACUCCUACGGGAGGCAGCAGUGGGGAAUCUUGCGCAAUGGGCGAAAGCCUGACGCAGCGACGCCGCGUGAGGGAUGACGGCCUCGG